rnacentral:piRNA from 1 species
UAGAAGGGAGUGGCCAACACCGUCUGG